UUGUAAUUUGUAGAAGGUGCUUCGGGUGCGGCCCCGGUCCANGUCCCUUGGAACAGGGCGCCCCUGAAGGUGAGAACCCCGUACGCGGCCAAUGGCCAAUCCCAUGUGAAACCCUUUCAACCAGUCUAGUUGUUUGGGAAUGCAGCUCUAAAUGGGUGGUAAAUUUCAUCUAAAGCUAAAUAUUUGCCNGAGACCGAUAGCGCACAAGUAGAGUGAUCGAAAGAUGAAAAUNACUUUAAAAAGAGAGUCAAACACUACGUGAAAUUGUUGAAAGGGAAGCGCUUGCAACCAGACUCGCUCGCUGGUGUUCAGCCGCCCUUCGGGGCGGUGCACUCUCCCGCGGCCGGGCCAGUNGGUUUCGGCGNUNAUAAAGGCUCCNGGAACGUACCUCUCUUCGGGGAGUGUUAUAGCCCGGGGUGCAAUGCUACCAUCCGGAACCGAGGACCGCGCAUUCGCUAGGAUGCUGGCGUAAUGGUUGCCAUCGACCCGUCUUGAAACACGGACCAAGGAGUCGACCAACCGCGCGAGUGUUUGGGUAUCAAACCCCAGCGCGUAAUGAAAGUAAACGGAGGUGGGAGCUUUCGAGCGCACCAUCGACCGAUCCUGAUAUUUUUGGAUGGAUUUGAGUAGGAGCCCGGUUGNUCGGACCCGAAAGAUGGUGAANUAUGCGUGAAUAGGGUGAAGCCAGAGGAAACUCUGGUGGAGGCUCGCAGCGGUUCUGACGUGCAAAUCGAUCGUCAAAUUUGCGCAUAGGGGCGAAAGACCAAUCGAACUAUCUAGUAGCUGGUUCCCGUCGAAGUUUCCCUCAGGAUAGCAGCAAUGGAGACAGUCUCAUGAGGUAGANCAUGAUUAGAGGUCUUGGGGUUGAAAUCGACCUUAACCUAUUCUUGAACUUNGAAUAUGUGAGAAGUCCUUGUUANUUAGUUGAA
rnacentral:rRNA from 1 species